UCACGCAUUGGCUGGAUGUAUAAAUAGGCCGUGAGUCAUUUCUGAUGUUAACAUUUCACUGGUGAUCGAGAAAUUAGCAUAGUUUAGUUGCUUAUAACAGUUGUUAUCUUUUCAUACCAAGAUCGGAUUCAUAUUAUCAUAAAAACAGCUGUCGUGCCAGGAACGGACGUUACCUGCACCUGCUGAAACAAUUCUGCACUAACUAGCAAAUCUUCAACAAACAAGCUAAUUCUUGGCGAUCGAGUGUUGAAGAAAGUUUGUACUUAUAUCUAAGUAACUUGAAUAAGGAAGUAAAGACCGAGAUUAUUAUGGGAAAUAGUGGAGGAGGAAGCGGUGGAGGCGGUGGAGGUGGCGGUGGGUUUGGAAAUGGCACUGGAACAACAAAUACCGGGGACAAAGAUUCUGCCUCUAAGUCCCUACGUGUCAGACCCAUUAUACUGGACCUGUUUCAUGAGGCACGAAGACCGGUUAAUCUACUGACUGCAUGUGGCAAUGAAAGAGUCCCCUUUAUAUAGGGACAUUGCUCUACAUAAACAUAAACAAAUUAUGAUCGCCAAACAAACAUUAGAUUUUAAAUGAAUAUAAAUACGUUUUUACUAUCAAAACUACAUCAUGUACCCCUCUGUCAUUCGUUUGAGAAAAUAAACUCAAUUGUUUAUU